GCCAAAAUCUGUGAUCUCUUGUGCCUGGC
rnacentral:piRNA from 1 species